rnacentral:rRNA from 1 species
GACGAACGCUGGCGGCGUGCUUAACACAUGCAAGUUGAACGGUACUCCAUGGAAGCUUGCUGAAGUGGAGUAUAGUAGCGGACGGGUGAGUAAUGCAUGAGAAGCUGCCAUUGGGAGGGGGACAACAGCUGGAAACGGCUGCUAAUACCCCGUAUGCCGGAAGGUGAAAGGGAUUUAUCCCGCCCGAUGAGGUGCUCAUGUCCUAUCAGCUGGUUGGUGAGGUAACGGCUCACCAAGGCGACGACGGGUAGCCGGCCUGAGAGGGUGAACGGCCACACUGGAACUGAGACACGGUCCAGACUCCUACGGGAGGCAGCAGUGGGGAAUAUUGGGCAAUGGGGGGAACCCUGACCCAGCGACGCCGCGUGAGGGAAGACGGCCUUCGGGUUGUAAACCUCUUUUGUAUGGGAAGAAGGAUGUGACGGUACCAUACGAAUAAGUCCCGGCUAACUACGUGCCAGCCGCCGCCGUAACAC